UCAUCGCAUGGUGGGGGGUGGAAAGCUUUUUGUGGUUUUGGAUGGACUCGCGGCCUAUCAGCUUGUUGGUGAGGUAAUGGCUCACCAAGGCGACGACGGGUAGCCGGCCUGAGAGGGUGACCGGCCACACUGGGACUGAGACACGGCCCAGACUCCUACGGGAGGCAGCAGUGGGGAAUAUUGCACAAUGGGCGAAAGCCUGAUGCAGCGACGCCGCGUGAGGGAUGACGGCCUUCGGGUUGUAAACCUCUUUCAGUAGGGAAGAAGCGAAAGUGACGGUACCUGCAGAAGAAGCGCCGGCUAACUACGUGCCAGCAGCCGCGGUAAUACGUAGGGCGCAAGCGUUAUCCGGAAUUAUUGGGCGUAAAGAGCUCGUAGGCGGUUUGUCGCGUCUGCUGUGAAAGACCGGGGCUCAACUCCGGUUCUGCAGUGGGUACGGGCAGACUAGAGUGAUGUAGGGGAGACUGGAAUUCCUGGUGUAGCGGUGAAAUGCGCAGAUAUCAGGAGGAACACCGAUGGCGAAGGCAGGUCUCUGGGCAUUAACUGACGCUGAGGAGCGAAAGCAUGGGGAGCGAACAGGAUUAGAUACCCUGGUAGUCCAUGCCGUAAACGUUGGGCACUAGGUGUGGGGGACAUUCCACGUUUUCCGCGCCGUAGCUAACGCAUUAAGUGCCCCGCCUGGGGAGUACGGCCGCAAGGCUAAAACUCAAAGGAAUUGACGGGGGCCCGCACAAGCGGCGGAGCAUGCGGAUUAAUUCGAUGCAACGCGAAGAACCUUACCAAGGCUUGACAUGGGCCGGACCGGGCUGGAAACAGUCCUUCCCCUUUGGGGCCGGUUCACAGGUGGUGCAUGGUUGUCGUCAGCUCGUGUCGUGAGAUGUUGGGUUAAGUCCCGCAACGAGCGCAACCCUCGUUCUAUGUUGCCAGCACGUGAUGGUGGGGACUCAUAGGAGACUGCCGGGGUCAACUCGGAGGAAGGUGGGGACGACGUCAAAUCAUCAUGCCCCUUAUGUCUUGGGCUUCACGCAUGCUACAAUGGCCGGUACAAAGGGUUGCGAUACUGUGAGGUGGAGCUAAUCCCAAAAAGCCGGUCUCAGUUCGGAUUGGGGUCUGCAACUCGACCCCAUGAAGUCGGAGUCGCUAGUAAUCGCAGAUCAGCAACGCUGCGGUGAAUACGUUCCCGGGCCUUGUACACACCGCCCGUCAAGUCACGAAAGUUGGUAA
rnacentral:rRNA from 1 species